ACCCUGAUGCUGUUGAAGCUAAGCGGAUGAUGUCAUCGCUCCAUUAACCACAGCGGCAUCUGUGCUGCCCCGAGAGCUCGCCAACAGGGAGCCUGUUCCAGGCCGGCUGUCGUCUCCCCCUACGGUCUCCCUCGCCAAGCUACCAGCCGACGGCGGCCAAAACAUCACCGAAGGGAGGAGCAUUUGGCUUCACCUUGCUGCGUUGCUGUAUAUCUGAUCCUGCAGGGCUGAUUGAAAGGUUAAUGGGCAGAGUGGGCCAGACGCACUGUUCUUCACCACUGACAGUGAGUAACGCCGCUGCUCCGUUUCCAGGAAGCGCCUGUCUCCUUCUCGGGAUCGAUCCACCUCGUACCAUCCGCUGGCUCCCAUUUUUAGAGCUAAUGGAAGAGGCACGUUACUACGUUACUGCAAACACGCGCGUCGCUGAUUACAAGUGACCGCGCCUUGAUCGUUAUUCAGCCUACAGGAAAUAUGUGGUGACUUAGAGACUUCAUUGGAAGUGACCCCGCUGAGGCAAAGCCAGAGGUGGGAUAUUUAUGUACAACAGCACUCAGUUGCACCAGCUAUUUAAGUUCUUCCUUAUGGCCAUGUGUUGACAGCUGUAGUGCAAACCACAGUCGACUUCAAAGAGCACAGUACCACCCACAGUGUUUAUUCCCAAUCCAGUGCAAUAGAUCAUGGAACAAAUGGCAAAAACUGACAGUCUUGUUAGUGUAACAACAUGUUUGUAUUUGUAAUCUAAAGAAGAGGAACGUGGAUGGGAGAUGCACGUCUGGGUUUGACACAACAGGGACAGCAGGAUUGAUUAUCUCUGUGCAGAAGCUCUGGAAAAAAAAAACAACCCUAGGAUGUGUUUUCUGCAUCCUUCGGAACAAAGAGACCCACAUUCACACCAUAGUGCCCCUCGCCUGGCGACGCCCUUGAGGAAAGCCUCUCGGGCCAGACUGGCUUUUGAUUGGGUGUGAUCCCGUGGCCGUAACCAUAGCGACUGCCCACGGAGCACCUGGAGGAGUGACGCAGGCGUCGUCAUGGCUGCCGAAGGACGAGGAUG